rnacentral:rRNA from 1 species
GGGGAAUAUUGGACAAUGGACGAAAGUCUGAUCCAGCGACGCCGCGUGGAGGAAGAAGUCCUUCGGGCUGUAAACUCAUGAAGCUAACGAAUAAGACGGAAGGGGAACCUUCCGGGAGAAGGUAAUUAGUGAAAAGCCCCGGCUAACUACGUGCCAGCAGCCGCGGUAAUACGUAGGGGGCGAGCGUUGUCCGGAAUUACUGGGUGUAAAGGGAGCGUAGGCGGGACGGCAAGUUGAAUGUGAAAUGCAUGGGCUUAACCCAUGAGCUGCGUUCAAAACUGUCGUUCUUGAGUGAAGUAGAGGCAGGCGGAAUUCCUAGUGUAGCGGUGAAAUGCGUAGAUAUUAGGAGGAACACCAGUGGCGAAGGCGGCCUGCUGGGCUUUAACUGACGCUGAGGCUCGAAAGCAUGGGGAGCAAACA